AUGGAAACAAGCCACUACACAAUGGAAACAAGUUGCAACACAACUGAGACAGGCCGCAACACAAUGGAGACAAGCUGCAACACAACGGAGACAAGCCACAACACAAUGGAAACAAGAGAAACAAGUUACAACACAAUGGAAACAAGCCGCAACAUAUUGGAGACAAGCUGCAACACAAUGAAGACAAGUCGCAACACAAUGGAAACAAAGCUCAACACAGUGGAAACAAGCCACAUCACAAUGCAGGCAAGCCACAACACAUUGGAGACAAGCAAAACAAGUUCCAUCACAAUGGAAACAAGCCGCAACACAAUGGAGACAAGCCACAACACAACAGAAUCAAGUCGCAACACAAUGGAAACAAGCCGCUACACAAUGGAUACAAGUGAAACAAGUUGCAACACAAAGAAAUUAACACAACACAAUGGAGACAAUCAAAACAAGACGCAACACAAUGGAAACAAGCCACAACAAAAUCGAGACAAGCCGCAACACAAUGGAAACAAGCGAAGCACAAUGGAGGCACGCUGCAACACAACUGAAACAAGCCACAACACAAUGGAAACAAGCGAAACAAGUCGCAAAACAAAGUAAACAAGUCUCAAUACAAAGAAAUUAGCACAACACAAUGGAAACAAGCCACUACACAAUGGAGACAAGCCGCAACACAAUGAAAACAAGCUGCAACACAAUGGAAACAAGCCACAACACAAUGGAAACAAGUGAAACAAGUCACAACAAAAAGAAAUUAACACAAAACAAUGGAGACAAGCAAAACAAGUCGCAACACUAUGUAAACAAGCCACAACACAAUCGAGACAAGCCGCAACACAAUGGAAACAAGCGAAACACAUUGGAAACAAGCCGCAACACACUGGAGACAAGCCACAACACAAUGGAGACAUGCCGCAACACAAUUGAAACAAGCCACAACAUAAUGGAAACAAGCAAAACACAAUGGAAACAAUCGAAACACAAUUGAACCAAGCCACAACACAACUGAGACAAGCCGCAACACAAUUGAGACAAGCCACAACACAAUGGAGACACGCCGCAACACAAUUGAAACAAGCCACAACACAAUGGAAACAAGCGAAACAAGUCGCAACACAAAGAAAUUAGCACAACACAAAGAUAACAAGCCACUACACAAUGUCAACAAGCAACAACACAACAGAGUCAAGCCACAACACAAUGGAGACAAGACACAACACAAUGGACACAUGCCACAACACAAUGGUAAAAAGCCACAACUCAAUGGAGACAAGCCACAACAAAAUAGAGACAAGCCGCAACACAAUGGAGACAAGCCACUACACAAUGGAAACAAGCCACAACACAAUGGAAACAAGUCUUAACAGAAAGAAAUUAGCACAACACUAUGGGAAAAAGCCACAACUCAAUGGAGACAAGCCACAACACAAUGGAGACAAGCCACAACACAAUGGAGACAAGCCCCAACACAAUGGAGACAAGACAAGCCUUAACACAAUGGAGAAAAGCCGCAGCACAAUGGAGUUAAGCAGCUACACAAAGGAGACAAGUCACAACACAAUGGAGACAAGCCGCAACACAACGGAGACAAGCCACAACA
ensembl:lncRNA